GACGAACGCUGGCGGCGUGCUUAACACAUGCAAGUCGAACGGGAUUUAGUAAACAGAAACCUCUGUGGAAGAUUACUUAUUAUAGUAGCGAACUGGUUAUUAACUCUUUAGCAACCUUCCUAUUUCAGUGGGAUAGCCUCUUGAAACCGGGAUUAAUACCUCAUAAAAUCGUAGAAACACAUGUUUUAACGUUCAAAGAUUUAUCGGUAAUAGAUGGUCUCGCGUCUGAUUAGCUUGUUUGUGAGAUAACAGCCCACCAAGGCUACGAUCAGUAGACGGUAAGAGAGGAAGAACGGCAACAAUGGAAAAGAGACACGGACCAAAAGACUACGGGAGGCAGGAGAGGGGAAUAUAGCAAAAUGGGGGAAAACCUGAUGAAGCGACGCCGGGUGAACGAAGAAGGUAGUCGUAAAGUAAAGUUCUGUAAUAUGGGAAGAUAAUGACAGUACCAAAGAAGAAAGCACCGGCUAAAUACGUG
rnacentral:rRNA from 1 species